CCUACGGGAGGCAGCAGUGAGGAAUAUUGGUCAAUGGCCGGAAGGCUGAACCAGCCAUGCCGCGUGAAGGUCAGUGCCCUAUGGGCGUUAAACUUCUUUUGUGCGGGAGCAAUAAUGGUCACGUGUGGCCAGACGAGAGUACCGUACGAAUAAGCAUCGGCUAACUCCGUGCGAGCAGCCGCGGUAAUACGGGGGAUGCGAGCGUUAUCCGGAUUUAUUGGGUUUAAAGGGUGCGUAGGCGGUGAGGUAAGUCAGCGGGGAAAUGCCCCCGCUCAACGGGGUGAAGGGCCAUUGAUACUGGCGUGCUGGAAUGCGGAUGCCGUGGGAGGAAUGUGUGGUGUAGCGGUGAAAUGCAUAGAUAUCACACAGAACACCGAUUGCGAAGGCAUCUCACGAAUCCGCGAUUGACGCUGAUGCACGAAAGCGUGGGUAUCAAACAGGAUUAGAUACCCGGGUAGUC
rnacentral:rRNA from 1 species